GCGGCGGCGCAGUAUUCUAGUCAGAUCUGCCGUUUCCGAGGGAGGACCUAAAAAGCCUCCAAAGGGCACACCUGUGAAACUUCUGGUGUUUGCUUGAGACGCCCAGUCUUGGGUGGAUGCUGGGAGGAAGCGUGCUUUUUACGCUUGCGGACUCAGGGCGAUUUCCAAUGGCAUGGAUACCCCGACCCUGUUUCCGUGGAGACCUGUUCUUGUGCAUGGACGUACUCCCAUUGCGGUAAUUCCGAUUCAUGUACGAAGCAGAUUUGAACCUGCAAUGCGGUGCAUCGCGCCAUACGGCGCGUAACGCUGUGUGCAGUCGUAGCCUGCCUUGCGUGAGGCGGGUGGAUGGGGGAUCAACGCGGCAGUACUCUGGCCGGAGUGCGGAUCGCGAUCGCCCCCUGAAACCCGGUUUGCAAAAGAGGCUAAAGAAACGGACAGACUGCGGUGGAAAACACCUAGGCUGUUCUCGCGAGGCGAAGCAGGGAUUGCAGUGCGGACUCAGUGGCAAUCGGGUAGUGCGUCCGGCGACGGCGCACCUCGGAACUGAAAGGGGAACCGCCUCCAUCGGCAACGAGAGGUGUUCCGUGGGGAAAACAGACCCGUACCUAAGCCGCAAGAUUUACCUGGUUCGCUGCCGCUGACUU
rnacentral:sRNA from 1 species